CCUACGGGAGGCAGCAGUGGGGAAUUUUGGACAAUGGGCGCAAGCCUGAUCCAGCAAUGCCGCGUGAGUGAAGAAGGCCUUCGGGUUGUAAAGCUCUUUUGUCAGGGAAGAAACGGGUCUUUCUAAUACAGAGGUCUAAUGACGGUACCUGAAGAAUAAGCACCGGCUAACUACGUGCCAGCAGCCGCGGUAAUACGUAGGGUGCAAGCGUUAAUCGGAAUUACUGGGCGUAAAGCGUGCGCAGGCGGUUUUGUAAGUUUGUCGUGAAAUCCCCGGGCUCAACCUGGGAAUGGCGAUGAAGACUGCAAGGCUAGAGUUUGGCAGAGGGGGGUAGAAUUCCACGUGUAGCAGUGAAAUGCGUAGAUAUGUGGAGGAACACCGAUGGCGAAGGCAGCCCCCUGGGUCAAAACUGACGCUCAUGCACGAAAGCGUGGGGAGCAAACAGGAUUAGAUACCCUGGUAGUCCACGCCCUAAACGAUGUCUACUAGUUGUCGGGUCUUAAUUGACUUGGUAACGCAGCUAACGCGUGAAGUAGACCGCCUGGGGAUACGGUCGCAAGNUUAAAACUAGAAGUAGUAGACGNGNGAGAGCGACGACGACGACGACGGAGGAGAGG
rnacentral:rRNA from 1 species